rnacentral:rRNA from 1 species
GACGAACGCUGGCGGCGUGCUUAACACAUGCAAGUCGAACGAAGUGGCGAACGGGUGAGAAAUACGCGGAUAACAUGCGCCCCUUUUUGGGAGAAGCCUUGGAAACGGGGUCUAAUACCGAACAAAGGGGGAUGGGCUCGCGGCCUAUCAGCGGGUUGGGGGGGUGAUGGCCUAUGAAGGGGGUGCCGGGUAGCCGGCCUGAGAGGGGGACCGGGCACAUUGGGACGGCGAUACGGCCCAGGGUCCUAGGGGGGGAGGCAGUGGCGGAUUUUGCACAAGGGGCGAAAGGCUGAUGCGGGGACGUGGCGUGGGGGAUGGAGUCGUACGGGUUGGUAACCUGUUACGCUAUCGAACGGGUAGGUGGAGAAGAAGCGCCGGCUAACUACGUGCCAGCAGCCGCGGUAAUUC